GGCGGCGUAGCCAAGUGGUAAGGCACGGGCCUGCAAAGCCCCGAUCGCCGGUUCGAAUCCGGCCGCCGCCUCCA
rnacentral:tRNA from 1 species